GUGAAUCAUCAAAUCUUUGAACGCAAAUUGCGCUUACUGGCAUUCCGGGGAGUAUGCCUGUUUGAGGGUCAGUAUUAACAAAAAAUCGGUUUGGUUGCAAAUUGUGACGGUUCCGGGGUUUGGGUUAUCUUAACUUUUUUGGUUAAGUGGCUUUAAAUUGACCUUUUUUGCGAUUUUUUAGCCGAUCAUAAAUUUUUUUUUUUUUUCGUCUAUUCUUAUUGCAAAGCAAUUAUUAGAUACAAGCA
rnacentral:misc_RNA from 1 species